rnacentral:rRNA from 1 species
AGAAUCAACGCUGGCGGCGUGCCUAACACAUGCAAGUCGAACGAGAAAGUGGAGCAAUCCAUGAGUAAAGUGGCGCACGGGUGAGUAACACGUGACUAACCUACCUUUUAGUGGGGGAUAACCUAGGGAAACCUGGGCUAAUACCGCAUAAUACCUACGGGUCAAAGCAGCAAUGCGCUGGAAGAGGGGGUCGCGGCCGAUUAGCUAGUUGGCGGGGUAAUGGCCCACCAAGGCAGUGAUCGGUA